rnacentral:rRNA from 1 species
UACGGAAGGCAGCAGUGGGGAAUAUUGCACAAUGGGCGCAAGCCUGAUGCAGCCAUGCCGCGUGUAUGAAAAAGGCCUUCGGGUUGUAAAGUACUUUCAGUCGUGAGGAAGGUGUUAAGGUUAAUAACCUUAGCAAUUGACGUUAGCGACAGAAGAAGCACCGGCUAACUCCGUGCCAGCAGCCGCGGUAAUACGGAGGGUGCGAGCGUUAAUCGGAAUUACUGGGCGUAAAGGGCACGCAGGCGGUUAAUUAAGUUGGAUGUGAAUCCCCGGGCUUAACCUGGGAAUGGCAUUCAAGACUGGUUAGCUAGAGUCUUGUAGAGGGGGUAGAAUUCCAUGUGUAGCGGUGAAAUGCGUAGAGAUGUGGAGGAAUACCGGUGGCGAAGGCGGCCCCUGGACAAAGGACUGACGCUCAUGUGCGAAAGCGUGGGGAGCGAAACAGGGAUUAGAUACC